rnacentral:miRNA from 1 species
GGUUUCUCUGGGUAGCCCUGGCUGUCCUGGAACUCACUCUGUAGACCAGGCUGGUCUUGAACUCAGAGGUUCACCUGCCUCUGCCUCCCAAGUGCUGGGAUUAAAGGUAUGCACCAUCACUGCCC